GAUGAACGCUGGCGGCGUGCCUAAUACAUGCAAGUCGAGCGAACAGAUAAGGAGCUUGCUCCUUUGACGUUAGCGGCGGACGGGUGAGUAACACGUGGGUAACCUACCUAUAAGACUGGAAUAACUCCGGGAAACCGGGGCUAAUGCCGGAUAACAUUUAGAACCGCAUGGUUCUAAAGUGAAAGAUGGUUUUGCUAUCACUUAUAGAUGGACCCGCGCCGUAUUAGCUAGUUGGUAAGGUAACGGCUUACCAAGGCAACGAUACGUAGCCGACCUGAGAGGGUGAUCGGCCACACUGGAACUGAGACACGGUCCAGACUCCUACGGGAGGCAGCAGUAGGGAAUCUUCCGCAAUGGGCGAAAGCCUGACGGAGUAACGCCGCGUGAGUGAUGAAGGUCUUCGGAUCGUAAAACUCUGUUAUUAGGGAAGAACAAAUGUGUAAGUAACUGUGCACGUCUUGACGGUACCUAAUCAGAAAGCCACGGCUAACUACGUG
rnacentral:rRNA from 1 species